rnacentral:RNase_P_RNA from 2 species
CCAGCCGGCCGGACGGCCGCUCCGGCAGGGACCGAAAGGUCGCCGGGGAGGAAAGUCCGGGCUCCACGGAAACACGGUGCCGGGUAACGCCCGGCGAGGGCGACCUCAGGGAAAGUGCCACAGAAAGCAAACCGCCCGCGCAUGCGCGGGUAAGGGUGAAAGGGUGGGGUAAGAGCCCACCGCGGACCCGGCAACGGGGACGGCACGGUAAACCCCACCGGGAGCAAGACCGAAUAGGGGCGGCGCGGGGGCGACCCCAGCCCGUUUCCGGGCCAGCCGCCCGGGUAGGUCGCGAGAGGCGUCCGGCAACGGGCGUCCCAGAUGAAUGGCCGUCGCGCGGGUCCCAUGGGCCCGCCUUACAGAACCCGGCUUACAGGCCGGCUGGCACU